rnacentral:rRNA from 1 species
UGUAAGCGUAUACCAAAGUUGUUGCAGUUAAAACGCUCGUAGUCGGAAUUUGGCAGUUCCGGAAGUGUGCACGUCGUGUGCGCACUUUGCGGGGACUGCUUUUGUGGUCUUGCGUAGGAUGAGGCACUUUCAUUAGUGAACGUCCUCACGCAACCACUCUUUACUGUGAGAAAAUCAGAGUGCUCAAAGCAGGCAUUUGCCGUGAAUGUAUUAGCAUGGAAUAAUAGGAUAGGACUCGGUUCUAUUUUGUUGGUUUGUUGGGACUGAGUAAUGAUUAAGAGGGACAGUUGGGGGCAUUUGUAUUCCGGCGCUAGAGGUGAAAUUCUUAGAUUGCCGGAAGACAAACUGCUGCGAAAGCGUCUGCCAAGGAUGUUUUCAUUGA